GCGCCCGUAGCUCAGCGGAAUAGAGCACUCGCCUUCUAAGCGAUUGGUCGUUGGUUCGAGUCCAACCGGGCGCG
rfam:Thermosynechococcus elongatus BP-1 DNA, complete genome.